GUAAAUUAUACAAACGGUAAAACAUAAAAUAGGCAGUUCCAAGAUUAUAGGGAUUGAUUGAGAUAAUGAAGCAAUCACACUUGAAUGGCUACAGACUGCCGUGACUUGUGGGGAGUGUCUUGCAUAUUCAUUGGCUGAUGGGUAAAGUUUAAGUUAGAUAAAUUUUAUUUCUGCAAAUUAGGCAGGCAGCAAAGAGAUUGAGUCCUAAGUAGUGACUUCACCUUCUCGGUGAAGGUUGCAUCAGUCGCCCAUGUUUACCAUGUGGAAAGAGAGGCAUGCAUGGAUACAUCUGAGUCUGACUAUGUACUAAGAUGGGCACGCUGUUGUUCAAGAAACAGUGGUAGUUAUCAAGUAUAAGAUUAGCAAUAUUGAUAAAGUUAGAAUUACAAGCUUAUAAUGGGCUUCUAAGCCCAUGGGGUAUUAUUUCUGUCUUUCUCCUGUUUUUGUUUGUCCUGUUUGAUCUGUAUUACAGUUCAGUCAGUCGGUCUAUUUUGAUCUAUUAUUUUGCAUUUUGGUUUAUGUAUCUGAUCUACUCUUGGCUCUUUUGUUAAAUAAUUUAUUAGUUAUCUAGACUAAAAA